rnacentral:tRNA from 1 species
AGUUAAUUAGUUGAUUUUCACAACAUUAAGCUGCAAACUUAAAAGAAUGGUGCCGCCAUAUUAACCU